UCCUUGCACGUUGAUGUAUUCUGGACCACAGCUCCUCUCUGAUGACCUCAGACUCAGGGGUCUCGCGUGGGGUUUGGAGCAUGGGUUAAUCUGAGCUGUGGAGAGUUGGCUGCCCCUUUGUUCUGCUAUACGGAGGCUUCUCGGACUCCGCCUUGCUGGCUGGAGAUCUCCCUGCAUGGUGGCAGUCUGGAGAACUCUAGAGUGUUAACCAGUCUGCCACAGUAGCGCUAACGAUGAUCUGUACAUCAGCACCAUGGGAUUCCAGUCUGGCCUCCUGGGUUGACUGGGUUUACGGGACUUGGCCGUGGCAUCGGUUUGGCUCUCCCUGGUUGUUCUCUCGUGACGUUUCGCGGACAGCUUGGACUGAGUCAUUGCUGGUGGCUUGGUUACAUCGGACUGAGAAACAUUCACAUAGGAAGUUGUCGGUUGCUACAUUAUUUUAAAAAUAUUUUCUCCUUGCGAGAAAGUUGCAAAAGGCCAGAGGCAAAUAUAAGAGAAUACACUGGAAAUGAAGGAAUGAAGUCAGUCGUUACUUGUGGCUAAAUUGUCCUGGAACAGGAAGCAGCCAUUACACUCAAAACCCUUCAGUUUAUCGUAGCUUUGUGUCUGUGUCUCUGCUGCUUGCGUACAGAGAAGACCGGUUCUGUGUUUACAUAUCUGCUGUUGUGGAACUGUAACGGUGAUCACAGUCCUCCCUCCCUCUCUCUCUCCCUCUCUCCCUCUCUCUCUCUUUCUCAGUAUAUCUCUCUUGUACACAUGUACUUCGUGGCCUGUCGUUAGCAAUGGAUAAUACACGAACACGUUUGUUCCUGCCGCUGUUCGGCCUCAGACCCUGCCAUCGCUCAGGGCCGUGGGGUGGGCCGGCCCGUUGCUAUGAAAACCACACAAACCUUACCCCUGGAAACGGGCGAUAAUGCAGGCAGAUGGGCGGGGCUGGCAGAGACUUCCUGAGUUCAGAUCCAGCAGGUUUAGGGUUGGCUGCCACACUGUUACUGUCUGCCAAAAAGCUUUUCUUCUUGACUCUUUAUUGCGACCCUUUCCGAGUCUGUGGACUGGUCCACUCUGGGCUCUGCUGUCCUAACUCCUGUCUCCUAAAGGCCAGAGGAUGUGACUUCUAAACACAGCUCGAUUCCCACCUUUCACAAAUCAUGUAUGUACUGUGACAAGAAAUGAAAGUGCAUCAUUGGUGGGUGACGCAUGUACUGGAGUAAAUUCUGGAUUACAGGCCAACAUGGCAUCUGGCUCCUAAUUUCCUGUGAUCUGCGGUGCUCCACUGCGUCGUGUCCAUCAGGUGUUGUGACUGUGGAGACAGUCUCCAUUUAUCACCCUUGAAAGGUUCCUUUUAUGUCCUCUGAACAUUUUCCUGUGCUUCUGGGAGAUUUGGGGUUGCAGGGAACGUCCUUCUUGAAGCUUCUGUAUAAUCGGACCAAACCAGUGGAAAGUGACACACGUCCGCUGCUGUCAUGACAGUCAUGGCUGUGGUUUUGCGAUGGCCUGCCUGUGUGUGUGUAUUUGAAUACAAGGGCAAAGAACAGCUCAAGUUUUGCUGACUCACGUGGUCAUGAGGACGCUUCUGUCUGUUCACCAAGUCACCACGACAACCGCAUUGUUUACUUCUCCGAGAAACGGGCAAUUGAAGAGGAGUGUUUAUUGAUCCGGGUGGCAGGGUGGGGCAGUAACCCCUGCUCCUGUGUGGUUGUCUGAGUCACAGGGCUGGCUUGUGUAAGGAAAACACCAUGACAGUAACAGAAAUCCUAGUGCUCAACCUUGACUCUUAGCUUUCGACAGUCUGUAGAUGCACCAGAUGAAAUAAAAUGUGUUUUACUCUGAUAAGUUUAAGUAAUAUGCAGAUAUACAUUGUACUCAUUAUACCUUACAAAUGAGUUAUAAAACAAUAAAAGUUUUUAUCUGUAGUAAUGAAAUUGCAUCUGAUGGAAAUAUACACAGUGUGGCUGAAAGGUAGAGAUGAUUUGUUAAACAUCAGUGACAGUCAUCCAGCCUCAGUGAGGAGACACUUAGUCGCUGUACACCUGGAGGCUUUUGUGUAAUGACCGUGCAGAUACCUAGGCCAUUAUUUUUGAAUAUGAAAACACCACCUUGAUUUUAAAAAAGAGCUCAAUUCAAGGCGUGACAAAUAAAACAAAUAAACCUUUGUUUGUUGACAGUCCUCUGCAUAAUGUGGUGUGAUUCGAUAUCUCUGUGAAGUGGCAUUAGGCAUUGAAGAGUCAGAAACCUUCUUUCCUCAUGGAAAACCCGGCGUGGGCCGCGUUUGGCUCCCAUGUCUCUCUCUAGCAAGAUAGCUGGACUGUUCUUUGUUGGCACUGCAGCCUAUAAGAAGCAGCCGCUGGUGUGACAUCACCUAUCCGCCUCCUGCUGUGUGCAUGGACGGGGACAGAGAUGCUAGUCUGUCAGGACAUGAGUACGUUUGUUUGUUUGUUACCCUAAAAUGUUUUUUUUGUUCUGUAUGUGAUCAUUUAAAUGUGUAAUAAAAUAUUUACUUGUGACUUAUAUAUUUAGUCGUGGAGACCUAAUUUGAAUGGGUGAAUAAAUUUGCCAUCGUCUGGAGAGCUACAGAUCACUUUUAUGAUCGCUGUAUAUCGAAAUCCUGAGCUUGUCUAAUAUUCCCUGUCCAUCAUCACCCUGAAUUAUUACAGUGUUUUCUUAACUGUUCAGUUACUGGUAUGUUUUGAUGUCUUUCAUCUGGUGGAUUGUAAUAUUUUAACUCUAAUCAUUUGUACAUGUAGUUUUGAACACCACCAUGAUACCUGGGAUACCGCCGUGAUGUAAAUACUGGGGAUACCUGGAAGGGUAAAUACCUGGGAUACCACCGCAAUGCACGCAAAGAGCAAAAGGCGAAUCAUCCAGGCCCCUGCCCCACUCUGCUCUGGCUGUGGCUUUAACCGUGUUCUUCAUCGGGUCAGGGGUUCUCUGAGUUUUUCGUCUGCUUCCAGAAACUGAGAGUCAUGACGGGCCCGGUGCAGGUGUGUUAGAGAAGUGUGCCAACAUCACACAGACACACACACAGACACACACACUCCUCUUUUGUCACAGCUGUUGCUAUGAAUACACUUCAUGUGGCUUUUUCAUGGGCUUUGAAGUUUGAGUGUUUGUCAUCACGGCCGCCAUGAUCCGUUCUGUUCUCAUCUUCUGGGUCUUUUGUUUAGAGACAAUAUUUUGUGCCCAUAUGACACUGUUUUAUAUUGACUUUGUGUGAUUGAUUGAAAUGUCCGAGACCAACGUGUGACGUGUACUCAGUCCUGACUGAUCCGGUGCGUGCUGGCGUUUGAGGACAAGCUGUAGGAUUGUGUUAGGACAGACAGCUUCAUCAAUCUCAUCUCAGUGUCCUGUCCAUCCUGUUGAAGUCCCCGUUCAGAUCUCUCACUCUCUCUCGUAAUGAGGCAUUUCUUGUAGAGCCAGUGACAGGAAAUGAACUUUGGUGGGGGAGUGAAUGAAUCAAAUAUGGAGGUGAGAGAUUGGAUAAGAAGGAGUGGGGAGAGAGAAUGCAUGCAUCAAUAUUAGCUGAAGGUUCAUUAGGCUGUCUGGACUAAUCUUUAGGACAGCAGACUACAGGCUCUGGUUUGCUGUGUGUGCGCGCGCAUGUGUGUCAGGCAUUCUGGUUGGGGGUGUGUGUGUCAGUCAGUCAUGCAUUACAUGCUGGCUGACGGUUGACCUUUACCACUCCGCCAACCUUCUAAAAGACUGAGAAGCUUUGUUCCGUGGUGGCCCUCGUCCUGGCCCGGUCACGUCGGACGGACACGGCGAAGUUUCUGCCUCCCUGUAAAUGUUUUUAAGAGUUCUUCUGGAUUUUCUCAAGUUUGUUUCCUAAAGUUCUUUCCUGCACCUUUUUAGUCUGAAUUUGCCACACUACGUGUGAUGUUGACCUGAAACAGGGCGUGCUGUGCUUUGUGAUGGGCCACACGUCCUAACCUAACCAGGCGGACCCGUGUG